UUAAGUGACUAAGCGUACACGGUGGAUGCCUAGGCAAUCAGAGGCGAAGAAGGACGUGCAAAUCUGCGAAAAGCUUGGAUGAGCUGAUAAGGAGCGUGUAAUCCAAGAUAUCCGAAUGGGGCAACCCAGUGGGUGAAGAACCUACUAUCUUAUACUAAAUUCAUAGGUAUAAGAGGCGAACCGGGAGAACUGAAACAUCUAAGUACCCCGAGGAAAAGAAAUCAACCGAGAUUCUGUGAGUAGCGGCGAGCGAAAGCGGAGUAGCCAGUAAGUGAUAGCGAUAGAUUUAGGAGAAAGAGCUGGGAAGCUUUGCGAGACAGGGUGAUAGCCCCGUAUCUAAAAAAUCUGUGGUGGUACUAAGCUUACGAGAAGUAGGGCGGGACACGAGAAAUCCUGUUUGAAGAAGGGGGGCCCAUCCUCCAAGGCUAAAUACUCCUGAUUGACCGAUAGUGAACCAGUACUGUGAAGGAAAGGCGAAAAGAACCCCGGUGAGGGGAGUGAAAGAGAACCUGAAACCGUGUACGUACAAGCAGUGGGAGCCCCAUCACUCAAUCGUAUUGAUUGAAGUGAUAAACUCAAUACUUCUUACAAGCGGUUAAUUUUUUGCAAAACUUUGCAAAAAAUUCAACCCCAAAAGAAGCAGUGGGAUUGAGUGAUGGGGUGACUGCGUACCUUUUGUAUAAUGGGUCAGCGACUUAUAUUUUGUAGCGAGGUUAACUGAAUAAGGGAGCCGAAGGGAAACCGAGUCUUAACUGGGCGAGAAGUUGCAAGGUAUAGACCCGAAACCCGGUGAUCUAGCCAUGUGCAGGUUGAAGGUUGGGUAACACUAACUGGAGGACCGAACCGACUAAUGUUGAAAAAUUAGCGGAUGACGUGUGGCUGGGGGUGAAAGGCCAAUCAAACCGGGAGAUAGCUGGUUCUCCCCGAAAUCUAUUUAGGUAGAGCCUUAUGUGAAUACCUUCGGGGGUAGAGCACUGUUUCGGCUAGGGGUCCAUCCCGGAUUACCAACCCGAUGCAAACUGCGAAUACCGAAGAGUAAUGCAUAGGAGACACACGGCGGGUGCUAACGUCCGUCGUGGAGAGGGAAACAACCCAGACCGCCAGCUAAGGUCCCGAAGUCUAUAUUAAGUGGGAAACGAAGUGGGAAGGCUUAGACAGCUAGGAUGUUGGCUUAGAAGCAGCCACCAUUUAAAGAAAGCGUAAUAGCUCACUAGUCGAGUCGGCCUGCGCGGAAGAUGUAACGGGGCUGAAAUAUAGCACCGAAGCUGCGGCAUUCAGAGGACAGAUUACAGAAGACAGAGGACAGAAUAAAUGGUUAUCGGAAAAAGCAUUACGGAUUAUCGGGAUUUAUUGGUAUGGCAGAAAGCGUAUCAAUUAUCACUGAAAAUUCAUAAACAUACUUUAAAUUAUCCAAAAUAUGAACAGUUUGAAUUAGCAAGCCAAAUGCGUAGAGCAAGUAAAGGAAUCUGUGCAAAUCUUGCAGAAGGCUUUGGGAAACAAAGUGUGAGCAAAGCGGAAUUUAAACGUUUUAUAUUAAUGGCAAUGGGAAGUGCAGACGAAAUGCGAGUAUGGCUAAGUUACAGUAAAGACUUAGGAUAUUUAAAUGAAGUUGCCUACGAAAAGUUAGAAAUAGCUUAUCGAGACAUUGCAAAAAUGCUAAAUGGCUUACAUAAAAGUUGGUCAUAGGUAUUUAUUCUGUCAUCAGUCUUCUGUCAUCUGUCCUCUGAUUGGGUAGGGGAGCGUUGUGUAAGCGGAUGAAGGUGAAUUGAGAAGUUUGCUGGACGUAUCACAAGUGCGAAUGCUGACAUAAGUAACGAUAAAACGGGUGAAAAACCCGUUCGCCGGAAGACCAAGGUUUCCUGUCCAACGUUAAUCGGGGCAGGGUGAGUCGGCCCCUAAGGCGAGGCUGAAAAGCGUAGUCGAUGGGAAACGGGUUAAUAUUCCCGUACUUGGUAAAACUGCGAUGUGGGGACGGAGCAGGUUAGGUUAGCGUGCUGUUGGAUAUGCACGUUUAAGUUGGUAGGUGGGUGAGUUAGGCAAAUCCGGUUCACCUUAACACCGAGAGAUGAUGACGAGGCUCUACGGAGCUGAAGUAACUGAUACCACACUUCCAGGAAAAGCCACUAAGCAUCAGGUUUUACUAAACCGUACUAUAAACCGACACAGGUGGUCAGGUAGAGAAUACUCAGGCGCUUGAGAGAACUCGGGUGAAGGAACUAGGCAAAAUAGCACCGUAACUUCGGGAGAAGGUGCGCUUACGGUAGUUAAAGUCCGAAACGGAUGGAGGUGAAGUAAGUCGAAGAGACCAGCUGGCUGCAACUGUUUAUUAAAAACACAGCACUCUGCAAACACGAAAGUGGAGGUAUAGGGUGUGAUGCCUGCCCGGUGCUGGAAGGUUAAUUGAUGGUGUAAUCGGAAGAGAAGCAUCGGAUCGAAGCCCCAGUAAACGGCGGCCGUAACUAUAACGGUCCUAAGGUAGCGAAAUUCCUUGUCGGGUAAGUUCCGACCUGCACGAAUGGCAUAAUGAUGGCCAGGCUGUCUCCACCCGAGACUCAGUGAAAUUGAAAUCGCCGUGAAGAUGCGGUGUACCCGCGGCUAGACGGAAAGACCCCGUGAACCUUUACUAUAGCUUGACACUGAACCUUGAAUUUUGAUGUGUAGGAUAGGUGGGAGGCGAAGAAGCGGUAACGCCAGUUAUCGUGGAGCCGUUGUUGAAAUACCACCCUUUAAGGUUUGAUGUUCUAACGAAGAUUACGAAACGUGGUCUCGGACAGUGUCUGGUGGGUAGUUUGACUGGGGCGGUCUCCUCCCAAAGAGUAACGGAGGAGCACGAAGGUUUGCUAAUGACGGUCGGACAUCGUCAGGUUAGUGCAAUGGUAAAAGCAAGCUUAACUGCGAGACGGACAAGUCGAGCAGGUGCGAAAGCAGGUCAUAGUGAUCCGGUGGUUCUGAAUGGAAGGGCCAUCGCUCAACGGAUAAAAGGUACUCCGGGGAUAACAGGCUGAUACCGCCCAAGAGUUCAUAUCGACGGCGGUGUUUGGCACCUCGAUGUCGGCUCAUCACAUCCUGGGGCUGAAGUAGGUCCCAAGGGUAUGGCUGUUCGCCAUUUAAAGUGGUACGCGAGCUGGGUUUAGAACGUCGUGAGACAGUUCGGUCCCUAUCUGCCGUGGGCGCUGGAGAAUUGAAAGGGGCUGCUCCUAGUACGAGAGGACCGGAGUGGACGCAUCCCUGGUGUUCCGGUUGUGUCGCCAGACGCAUUGCCGGGUAGCUAAAUGCGGGAGAGAUAAGUGCUGAAAGCAUCUAAGCACGAAACUUGCCUUGAGAUGAGUUCUCCCCAACUAUAAGUUGGUAAGGGUUGUUUAAGACUAAGACGUAGAUAGGUGUGGUGUGUAAGCGUAGUGAUACGUUGAGCUAACACAUACUAAUAGCCCGAGAGGCUUAACCAU
rnacentral:rRNA from 1 species